AAAACAACUUUCAACAACGGAUCUCUUGGCUCUCGCAUCGAUGAAGAACGCAGCGAAAUGCGAUAAGUAAUGUGAAUUGCAGAAUUCAGUGAAUCAUCGAAUCUUUGAACGCACCUUGCGCUCCUUGGUAUUCCGAGGAGCAUGCCUGUUUGAGUGUC
rnacentral:rRNA from 1 species